GCUCCGGGGCCUUCUUGUGCUUUCUUUGCUUCUUCUUGCUCUUCUUUCCUGAACUGUUACCUGAAACUGGGAGAGGGCAGCGGUGAAUGAGCGGGCACCAUUACAGGGACACCACCAAAUGCAUAUUAUACAGACAGGGCAAAAAGGAUCUACAGGAGAAGUUGGAAAGAGUGGUCCACAUGGACAAAAAGUUUAGUGUCACUAAUCACUUCAAGGAAAAGUCCAGAUUAAUCCAAAUAAAUGGUGACACAUAAAACAGGCGAGAAAGAGAAUCUGGAAAGCCGGAGUCAGGACUGUAUGAUACGUGGGAGCUACGCAUUGAUCUAGUGGACUUCGACCACGUGCAAUAUUUUGGCAAAUACUCCUCAUUUCAGAUCCUUGUAGAAGAGGAGAAGUACAAAUUAUUGCUUGGAGACUUCAAAGAUGGAAAUGCAG